rnacentral:rRNA from 1 species
CUACGGGACGCACCAGUGGGGAAUAUUGCACAAUGGGCGCAAGCCUGAUGCAGCCAUGCCGCGUGUAUGAAGAAGGCCUUCGGGUUGUAAAGUACUUUCAGAGGGGAGGAAGGGAGUAAAGUUAAUACCUUUGCUCAUUGACGUUACCCGCAGAAGAAGCACCGGCUAAUUCCGUGCCAGCAGCCGCGGUAAUACGGAGGGUGCAAGCGUUAAUCGGAAUUACUGGGCGUAAAGCGCACGCAGGCGGUUUGUUAAGUCAGAUGUGAAAUCCCCGGGCUCAACCUGGGAACUGCAUCUGAUACUGGCAAGCUUGAGUCUCGUAGAGGGGGGUAGAAUUCCAGGUGUAGCGGUGAAAUGCGUAGAGAUCUGGAGGAAUACCGGUGGCGAAGGCGGCCCCCUGGACGAAGACUGACGCUCAGGUGCGAAAGCGUGGGGAGCAAACAGGAUUAGAUACCCGCGUAGUC